UCUCUCUCCGCCUCUGUAAAAUCUAAAAGAGAAGAAAGCUUCUCAAAAACCCUAGUUGCUUCUUUACUAUUGGUGAUUCCACCCAUCCCCUAGCUAGGAACUAUAACAGCGGAACAACCAAGACUGCCCGAUCCUUGGCCGCAUCAGUCGAAUCGAGAGGGGGUACAGGUAUGCCAGUGCUUUUCUUUGGCUAUCCCAGCUAUCGAGCUGGACUAAUUGACACUGCUUCACUCUUUGGUCUUUCUUUCUCUCCGAAGGCUUCAACGAGAAAAGAGGGGUUGAUCUUGGCCCGGAGAAAGUCAGGCCAGCAACGCCCAAAUAAAAUGCCCUCUCUCUCCCCGUCUAUGUAACCCAGCCGUAGCGGUAUCCCCACUUCUCAAGUUUAGAUUUCUACUAUUCUUCUAACUCUCAACUUAUUUCCUUCAUGGCCUCCUUUUAGGUUGGAUUCCACCAAAGGAUGAUAUAUCAAGGACUGGGCUAAAUGGGAGAAUCAAUUACGAGAGGUUCUAUUUGGCAAUGCUUAAUAUCUUAAUUCUAUACAGGUACAAGACUCAGGAUUUGAAGAUUCCAUUGCUCCUUGGAUGGCUUACAGUUUUUAAGUUUCUAUUUUAUGCAAGUGUUAGCAUAAAAUGCCUCUUUGUAGCCCUAUUUGUUUAAACUUGUAUUCGUUGAUUCGUAUAUGUAAAGUGUGCGUAAGUGUACUCUUUUUAAUGUAUUUAACAUGUAUGAGAUGAGACCAGAGGCCAAUGACAUGUAUCUCGUUUUCUAUGCACUUUUGUUUUCAAAGUUUAUUAUGAAAAUAUUAGAAAAUGUUAAGUCAUUGCUUCAUAACUUUCGCAUCGAGUGUUGGAAUUUCAUAUC